GGCCACGUAGCCAAGUAGUAAGGCAACUGUCUGCAAAACAGUUAUGCGCGAGUGCAAUUCUCGCCGUGGCCU
rnacentral:tRNA from 1 species